UCAUUAUUGUAGGCCUACAUUAUAAAUAUUUUAAUCGUCCGUUUUUUAAAUGUUUUCAAUGUUUGUGUUUUUAAUUUUAACUUUAAUGAGUGUUAUAUACUGUGUCUGACGAUGAUGGGCAUCCACCGAAACAUGUAACAACAAAAAGCAACAAUUUUUGGAUUUGAUGGAAAGCAACAGCAGAGAGAUCAUUUUCUACGCUGAGGCGAUUGAAAAGCUGGAUGAGGACCAGAAUGACCGAAGACCGCCUGACCGGACUGGCUCUCAUGAAUGUUCACAGGGAUAUAGAAGUGGACAUCAAUAAAAUUAUCGAUCGGUAUUCCAGCAAGAAGAAUAGAAAACUGGAUUUUGUAAUUUAAGGGAAAACAACGUAGUUUUUGUUAAGCCAAAGUAUUUUUGUUUUGUUUUAUAAUUUACUUCUAAUGUCAGUAAUUAAAUCAUACUAAACAUAA